rnacentral:rRNA from 1 species
UAGAGGCCUACCAUGGUUUUAACGGGUAACGGGGAAUUAGGGUUCGAUUCCGGAGAGGGAGCCUGAGAAACGGCUACCACAUCCAAGGAAGGCAGCAGGCGCGCAAAUUACCCAAUCCCGACACGGGGAGGUAGUGACAAUAAAUAACAAUACGGGGCUCAUUUGGGUCUCGUAAUUGGAAUGAGUACAAUUUAAAUCUCUUAACGAGGAACAAUUGGAGGGCAAGUCUGGUGCCAGCAGCCGCGGUAAUUCCAGCUCCAACAGCGUAUAUUAAAGUUGUUGCAGUUAAAAAGCUCGUAGUUGAACUUCGGGGUUACCCAUUGGUCAGGCUUAAUUGUCUGUACUGGUGAGAUAAAUCUCUACCUUCUGAGGAACUUUCAUGUCAUUAAUUUGGUGUGAUUGGAAAUCAGGACUGUUACUUUGAAAAAAUUAGAGUGUUUAAAGCAGGCUAACGUCUGAAUACAUUAGCAUGGAAUAAUGAAAUAGGACGGAUUGAUUCUAUUUCGUUGGUUUCUAGGAUCACCGUAAUGAUUAAUAGGGAUAGUUGGGGGCAUUAGUAUCCAAUUGUCAGAGGUGAAAUUCUUGGAUUUAUUGAAGACUAACUACUGCGAAAGCAUUUGCCAAGGAUGUUUUCAUUAAUCAAGAACGAAAGUUAGGGGAUCGAAGACGAUCAGAUACCGUCGUAGUCUUAACCAUAAACUAUGCCGACUAG